UUGUGAACCAAGUUAUUCAAAGACCAACCGUAUUGGUAGGGAACUCUGUCGGAAGCCUUGCUUGUGUAAUAGCUGCUGCAGAUCCUUCUCAAACAUCCAUUCAAGGUCUUGUUUUGUUGAACUGUGCUGGAGGCAUGAAUAACAAGGCAAUUGUUGACGAUUGGAGGAUUAAGUUGCUAUCGCCUUUACUCUGGCUUGUUGACUUCUUAUUGAGCCAAAAACCAAUAGCUUCUUCAAUCUUUACUCGGGUCAAACAGAGAGAAAAUCUAAAGAAUAUAUUGUUGUCUGUCUAUGGUAACAAGGAGUCUGUGGAUGAAGAUCUGGUGGACAUUAUUCGAACACCAGCAGAUUCUGAAGGUGCGCUUGAUGCUUUUGUAUCCAUUGUGACAGGUCCACCAGGGCCUAACCCAGUGCAGUUGAUCCCAAAAAUGACAUUGCCUAUACUUGUGUUAUGGGGUGAUCAAGAUCCAUUUACUCCGAUCGAUGGCCCUGUUGGUAGAUACUUCUCAUCCUUACCUUCUCAAAAACCAAAUGUGAGUUUAUUCCUUUUAGAAGGUGUGGGACAUUGCCCUCAUGAUGACAGACCUGAUCUUGUCCAUGAGAAGCUGCUUCCUUGGUUAAGCAAUUUACCAGUGGCAGAUAAUGUUGUUACAUGAUUAUCCUUUUUUGAUAUGUUAUACUAUUUUUAUUGAUCUUCAUGUAUAGAUGAUAUUGACUUGUAAAUCAUGUCACAAAGAAUACAUUUG
rnacentral:misc_RNA from 1 species